ACAGCUGUUUCAAGACACAUGUAAGGUAGAUUCUUUCUUGAACAUUAUUGGAUCUUUGUAACUUUCUGGUAUAUCUUCGUCUUUGCCCGAUUAAAUAUAUAGUUAAUCGAGACAAUCGUUGCUGCCAAGCUUGUUUUUCGACUUUUGGAACCUUUUCUGCGGCGCCUUGGACAAUUUUCGUUAUUCGGGAUAAGCCCAGUUUUGUAUGGCAUUCCAGUCAGCAAGUUUUAGUUGUGGUACUAAAAUUCGUCUUUCAGAAGCUUGGCCGUAUAUUUGGCAUGUGAUGGGAACAUGAUCCGAUUGGAGCUCACCUGGAUGUGUCUCAAGCGGUGAAAUAUUAAUGCUGGAAUUUGUUAAUAAAAUGUCAACAACUGAUGGGCGCUUCGCCAAUGUUCCCUGUGGAUAUCUGGUGAAUUCUGUAGGCGCAUAGAUGUAAAAAUUCGAUUGAAGUUGAUUAUUGAAUAAACAGUUUCCGGCAGAAUUGUUGUGGAAACAAUUCCAGCUUUUA